AGCGUACACGGUGGAUGCCCUGGCAGUCAGAGGCGAUGAAGGACGUGCUAAUCUGCGAUAAGCGUCGGUAAGGUGAUAUGAACCGUUAUAACCGGCGAUUUCCGAAUGGGGAAACCCAGUGUGUUUCGACACACUAUCAUUAACUGAAUCCAUAGGUUAAUGAGGCGAACCGGGGGAACUGAAACAUCUAAGUACCCCGAGGAAAAGAAAUCAACCGAGAUUCCCCCAGUAGCGGCGAGCGAACGGGGAGCAGCCCAGAGCCUGAAUCAGUGUGUGUGUUAGUGGAAGCGUCUGGAAAGGCGCGCGAUACAGGGUGACAGCCCCGUACACAAAAAUGCACAUGCUGUGAGCUCGAUGAGUAGGGCGGGACACGUGGUAUCCUGUCUGAAUAUGGGGGGACCAUCCUCCAAGGCUAAAUACUCCUGACUGACCGAUAGUGAACCAGUACCGUGAGGGAAAGGCGAAAAGAACCCCGGCGAGGGGAGUGAAAAAGAACCUGAAACCGUGUACGUACAAGCAGUGGGAGCACAGAGCAAUCUGUGUGACUGCGUACCUUUUGUAUAAUGGGUCAGCGACUUAUAUUCUGUAGCAAGGUUAACCGAAUAGGGGAGCCGAAGGGAAACCGAGUCUUAACUGGGCGUUAAGUUGCAGGGUAUAGACCCGAAACCCGGUGAUCUAGCCAUGGGCAGGUUGAAGGUUGGGUAACACUAACUGGAGGACCGAACCGACUAAUGUUGAAAAAUUAGCGGAUGACUUGUGGCUGGGGGUGAAAGGCCAAUCAAACCGGGAGAUAGCUGGUUCUCCCCGAAAGCUAUUUAGGUAGCGCCUCGUGAAUUCAUCUCCGGGGGUAGAGCACUGUUUCGGCAAGGGGGUCAUCCCGACUUACCAACCCGAUGCAAACUGCGAAUACCGGAGAAUGUUAUCACGGGAGACACACGGCGGGUGCUAACGUCCGUCGUGAAGAGGGAAACAACCCAGACCGCCAGCUAAGGUCCCAAAGUCAUGGUUAAGUGGGAAACGAUGUGGGAAGGCCCAGACAGCCAGGAUGUUGGCUUAGAAGCAGCCAUCAUUUAAAGAAAGCGUAAUAGCUCACUGGUCGAGUCGGCCUGCGCGGAAGAUGUAACGGGGCUAAACCAUGCACCGAAGCUGCGGCAGCGACGCUUAUGCGUUGUUGGGUAGGGGAGCGUUCUGUAAGCCUGUGAAGGUGUACUGUGAGGUAUGCUGGAGGUAUCAGAAGUGCGAAUGCUGACAUAAGUAACGAUAAAGCGGGUGAAAAGCCCGCUCGCCGGAAGACCAAGGGUUCCUGUCCAACGUUAAUCGGGGCAGGGUGAGUCGACCCCUAAGGCGAGGCCGAAAGGCGUAGUCGAUGGGAAACAGGUUAAUAUUCCUGUACUUGGUGUUACUGCGAAGGGGGGACGGAGAAGGCUAUGUUGGCCGGGCGACGGUUGUCCCGGUUUAAGCGUGUAGGCUGGUUUUCCAGGCAAAUCCGGAAAAUCAAGGCUGAGGCGUGAUGACGAGGCACUACGGUGCUGAAGCAACAAAUGCCCUGCUUCCAGGAAAAGCCUCUAAGCAUCAGGUAACAUCAAAUCGUACCCCAAACCGACACAGGUGGUCAGGUAGAGAAUACCAAGGCGCUUGAGAGAACUCGGGUGAAGGAACUAGGCAAAAUGGUGCCGUAACUUCGGGAGAAGGCACGCUGAUACGUAGGUGAAGUCCCUCGCGGAUGGAGCUGAAAUCAGUCGAAGAUACCAGCUGGCUGCAACUGUUUAUUAAAAACACAGCACUGUGCAAACACGAAAGUGGACGUAUACGGUGUGACGCCUGCCCGGUGCCGGAAGGUUAAUUGAUGGGGUCAGCGCAAGCGAAGCUCUUGAUCGAAGCCCCGGUAAACGGCGGCCGUAACUAUAACGGUCCUAAGGUAGCGAAAUUCCUUGUCGGGUAAGUUCCGACCUGCACGAAUGGCGUAAUGAUGGCCAGGCUGUCUCCACCCGAGACUCAGUGAAAUUGAACUCGCUGUGAAGAUGCAGUGUACCCGCGGCAAGACGGAAAGACCCCGUGAACCUUUACUAUAGCUUGACACUGAACAUUGAGCCUUGAUGUGUAGGAUAGGUGGGAGGCUUUGAAGUGUGGACGCCAGUCUGCAUGGAGCCGACCUUGAAAUACCACCCUUUAAUGUUUGAUGUUCUAACGUUGACCCGUAAUCCGGGUUGCGGACAGUGUCUGGUGGGUAGUUUGACUGGGGCGGUCUCCUCCUAAAGAGUAACGGAGGAGCACGAAGGUUGGCUAAUCCUGGUCGGACAUCAGGAGGUUAGUGCAAUGGCAUAAGCCAGCUUGACUGCGAGCGUGACGGCGCGAGCAGGUGCGAAAGCAGGUCAUAGUGAUCCGGUGGUUCUGAAUGGAAGGGCCAUCGCUCAACGGAUAAAAGGUACUCCGGGGAUAACAGGCUGAUACCGCCCAAGAGUUCAUAUCGACGGCGGUGUUUGGCACCUCGAUGUCGGCUCAUCACAUCCUGGGGCUGAAGUAGGUCCCAAGGGUAUGGCUGUUCGCCAUUUAAAGUGGUACGCGAGCUGGGUUUAGAACGUCGUGAGACAGUUCGGUCCCUAUCUGCCGUGGGCGCUGGAGAAUUGAGGGGGGCUGCUCCUAGUACGAGAGGACCGGAGUGGACGCAUCACUGGUGUUCGGGUUGUCAUGCCAAUGGCACUGCCCGGUAGCUAAAUGCGGAAGAGAUAAGUGCUGAAAGCAUCUAAGCACGAAACUUGCCCCGAGAUGAGUUCUCCCUGACUCCUUGA
rnacentral:rRNA from 1 species